GACGAACGCUGGCGGCGUGCUUAACACAUGCAAGUCGAACGGAAAGGCCCUGCUUUUGUGGGGUGCUCGAGUGGCGAACGGGUGAGUAACACGUGAGUAACCUGCCCUUGACUUUGGGAUAACUUCAGGAAACUGGGGCUAAUACCGGAUAGGAGCUCCUGCUGCAUGGUGGGGGUUGGAAAGUUUCGGCGGUUGGGGAUGGACUCGCGGCUUAUCAGCUUGUUGGUGGGGUAGUGGCUUACCAAGGCUUUGACGGGUAGCCGGCCUGAGAGGGUGACCGGCCCACUUGGGGACGGAGUGCGGCCCCAGCCCCAGCGGGGGGGAAGGGGGGGGAAAUUUAGCACAGGGGGGGAAGGCGUGAGGCAGCACCCCGGGGGGGGGGAGGAGGCCUUGGGGUUGGAAACCAGUUUUCGCCGGGAAGGAAGGGGGAGUGAGGGAAAGGGAAAAAGAAGCACGGCUAACUUCGGC
rnacentral:rRNA from 1 species